rnacentral:rRNA from 1 species
UCCAAUAGCGUAUAUUAAAGUUGUUGCAGUUAAAAAGCUCGUAGUUGGAUCUCGGGUUUGGGCGGACGGUCCACCUCGCGGUGGCUUACUGUCCGACCCGACCCGCCGGCCGGUUCUUACCCCUGGUGCUCUUGACUGAGUGUCUCGGGUGUCCGGAACGUUUACUUUGAAAAAAUUAGAGUGUUCAAAGCAGGCGCGUCGCCUGAAUAGUGGUGCAUGGAAUAAUGCAAUAGGACAUCGGUUCUAUUUUGUUGGUUUUCGGAACUCGAUGUAAUGAUUAAGAGGGACGGACGGGGGCAUUCGUAUUGCGGCGUUAGAGGUGAAAUUCUUGGAUCGUCGCAAGACGAACUACAGCGAAAGCAUUUGCCAAGAAUGUUUUCAUUAAUCAAGAACGAAAGUCAGAGGUUCGAAGACGAUCAGAUACCGUCGUAGUUCUGACCAUAAACGAUGCCGACUAGCAAUUCGCCGGAGUUGCUUCAAUGACUCGGCAGGCAGCUUGCGGGAAACCAAAGUCUUUGGGUUCCGGGGGAAGUAUGGUUGCAAAGCUGAAACUUAAAGGAAUUGACGGAAG